UAAAGAGACAGAGACAGAGACAGAGAGGGAAUGAAGAAGCUAGUCAUCGGUUCUUUCUCAGGAGUCUGGGGGAGGGGCGCCUGUUCCCUGAGUGGAGGACUGGGGCUCCCCCGCCUGCCCCUGUGUCUGUGUUUCUGCUCUAUAUUUGGCUAAUACGUUAUUGUCAUGCCAGCUCCUGUCCCUGCCAACCCCAAAGGCAUGACGUCUGUUCUGGUCUGACUAUUUUGGCUUCUCCCACCCCCACCCUACACACCAAAGCCAAGGCUGGGCCGGGGAGGGGGCCGGGAAAUAGAGGCUCCAUUUCCUUCUUUAGGGACUUCAGGUCCCCAUGGGAUCUAUGAGGGAGGGACCUAGUGAGAGGCUGCAUGUUGAGUAUAGCUUGAGGUUCUUCUGUAAGAUCCAGCAGACUUCAUCUGAAGGGGAAAAAGAAAACAAAAACCCAUUCUGUGUCACUGCCCCCCCCAGGCCCUCCCUCCCAAGAAUGGGCUGCCGAGUGAGGAGCAAGGGGGCCACAGAGUCUCUGGAUGAACGCUGAUGGAGAACUCAGAGCCUGCUAAAUCUGGUCCUGACCCCAAUAUACAAAGGGGCAUUUUGGCCACUAAAACGGGGGCUAUGUGCCUCCCCCUGCCCCACUCCAAGCAUGGACCUGAGAGCUGGAAGGGACCCUAAGAAUCAAGAUAGAGUCCAAACUCUGUCACUUAUAGUCAUAAUGACCUUGAACAAGUUCCUUAGACCAUGAUACAAAGACCAAAAACCUACACGGUCCCUGUCUUCCAUAAACUUAUAUCUUCCAUGUGUCUCAGUAAAUAGAUACAAAGUAAUUUCCAGGGCAGUUAGGUGAUACAAGGGAUAGAGAUCCUGGAGUCGGGAGUCUGAUCCCCGAGUCCAAACCAGCUUUAGACAAAUAGGAGCUGUGUGAGCCUGGCAAGUCACUCAAUCGCUUGCCUCGGUAUCUUCAUCUAUCAAAUGAUCUGGAAAAGGGAAUGGCAGUCUGCCAAGAAAACUCCAAAUGGUGUCAUGAAGAGUUGGACAUGACUGAACAAAGAGAGAGACAGACAGAUAGAGAGAGACAGAGACAGAGAGAGAGACAGACAGAGAGAAAGAGAGACAUACACAGAGAGAGACAGAGACAGAGACAGAGAGAGAGACAGACAGAGAGAAAGAGAGACACACACAGAGAGAGACAGAGACAGAGAGAAAGAGAGGGACAGAGAGAGAAACAGAAAGAGAGAGACAGACAGACAGACAUAGAAAGAGACAGACAGACAGACAGAGACAAAGAGAGACAGAAACAGAGACAGAAAGACAGACACAGAGAAAGAGACAGAGAGAGAGACAGAGACACACAGAGAGAGAUAGAGACAGAGAGACAAAGAGAGACAGAGACAGACAGACAGACAGACAUAGAAAGAGACAAAAAGAGACAGAAACAGAGACAGAGAGAAAGAGAGAGACACAUAGAGAGAGAGACACACAGACAGAGAGAGAGACAGAGACACAGAGAGAGAGACAGAGAGAGAGAGAGACAUAGAGACGGAGAGGGAGAGGGAAAAAGAGGAGAGAGGGAGAAGAGGGAGAGAAAGAAAGAGACAGAGAGAGAGGGGGGAAAGGAGAGGAAAGAGGAAAGAGAGGGAAAGAGGAGAGAGAGAAAGCUAGAUAGAGAGAGAAGGGCACACACACAGAGACAGAGACAGAGAACUAAUAAUUGGGGGAAAUCAGGAAAGGCUUUGUGUAGGAGGGGACCCCUGAACCAGGAAGCUGGGACUCCAUGAAGCAGAAACCAUUUCAAAUUUGGAAAAACUUGCAUAUAGAUAGGAAAGAGAGAGAGUUGGAAUGUCUUAGAGGUAAUGUUGAAUUGCUGGCAAGACAAACUAGAACCAAGUGAGUAAAGGAGAUUUACAUGAAAAAGGACUGGAAAAGGAAGAAAUAUUGCUUAUGGAUCAUCUAGUGUAAAACUAUGAGGCUCAGUUUUCUUCUCUGGAAAAUUAGUGUACUAACCUGCCUUUGUUAUAAAUAUCCACAUGUAGAAUGUUUUGUAACCAUAAAGUGCCAUGUGAAUUGCUAUUUUUGCAAAUGUUCAAAAAAUGUUUGGUAAAGAAAUACAUGAAAGAAUAAAUGAAUGAAUGAAAGAAUGAAAACUUUGUAGUGCAAAUGGCACUAGAUUUGGAACUUACAUUCAAUCCCAGUUCUGUUAAUUACUAUCUCUGUGGCCUUGAACAGACUACUUUAUUACUUCUCAUGCCUCAGUUUCCUUAUUUGUAAAAUGAGUAUGACUAGUUCUAAAUCCUAAAACCCCAAGUGAAUUCUCCUAUCCCGUUCCUUUCCCUUUCCCUUUCCCCAUUCCUUUGCUCUUGGAGGAAUUAUUGUUGUUGUUUCUGUCUCAGGAGAUAAACAACAUCUCUUCCCUCCCCCCCCCCAAAAAAAAAAAAUCCCUGAAACUUCAACGACAGCACUAGAGCCAAGUCAAAGGCCACCAGCUCUCACACCCUGGGGCUAGGUGAGGAGAAGGAAGCCCUGAAGGUUUCUGGUUUCUACCAACCUCCCCCUUCCCCCUCCACAUUUCCCCCUCCAUCCCUCCAGCUGCUUAGUCCCCUUGUCACUGACAGGGGCUCUUCCCAUGAAGUCACUGCCCCCUUUCCCAGCUUGUCCCUUCCCUCCACCCCCAUGGCCGGCUCCCACCUGCUCCUUCCCUCCCCCCCUCUCCCCUUUCCCGAGGGUUAUAGGAUCUCUUUGCUGACAUCCCCUUUGGCAAACAAGCAGGAAAACCUGCUGACUCCAUCAGAGCCCGGGUUCACUGAGUGGUCAGAGUGAUGGCUUGUCUGGCUUGGGACUGAGGAAGGGGAAGAAUAAAUAGUUUUGCAGAGUUAGGGCAGAGUCCUAAAGAGUUAACUGUCCCUCUCUCCAUUUUCUCCUUUGCCUGAGAAGCCCUAUUUCAUCCCCUAGGCCUCCAUCCAGGAUCAGCCAUCUGUCAUUUAGUGUGAUAUUGGUCAAAUCAAUAAAUACCUCUGGGUCUCAGUUUCCUCACGAAGGGGAUGGGACUAAACUAGAUGGUGGCCUGGAGAUCCCUUUCAGGUCUAAAUAGAUGUUCUCAGUUCUCUGAUUUCCAUUUUCCUUCCAGUUCUCAUCCUCUCUGUAGAUAUGCUCAUAGAGGUUCCCUUUCACCUUGCUCUUUUCUACCCAUCCUCCCCCUCCAGAGCAAACAGGGAGGUUAUUGCUUAUGGAGGACCCACUGAUAUUGGAAGCCCCUGGGAGGGCUGUCUUUCAGUUUGGGGAGAUAAAUAGAGAAAGUAAAGUGACUCCAACUCUCACCUUCUUCUCUCCCUCCUUCCGUCCUCCUUUCCCCCCUUUCCUCCUCCCUUCCCCCCUCGCUCCUCCCGCUCCCCCUUUCCCACCUCCCUCCCUCCCUCCCACGUGGCAGGAUCAGCUCCUAAGGGAGCUGCUUGGAGUACCGACUGAAUGUCAACAUCCUGCUUCGCUUUAGAGGCUGCUCAUUGUCAAGCUGUGCCCGGGGCCAGCUGGGGAGACAGAGGUGUGUUUGUUCUGGAGUGGGUGAGACCAUGAUAAUCACUCCCGAUUGCCGGGGCUAGAGCUGAAGGUCAGGAGGUAACUCAAACUGGAGAUAUAAAUAACCGAGCCUGGCUGCUGAGAACAGCAACAUUUGAUAAGCACCCCUCUCUGACCAGGAAGAUGGGGAUGUAUUGAUUACCAGCAGCCUGCCUUCCAUUCUUCCCCCUCUGACUUCAGAAAAAUAAACCCCGCUGGGUUUAUGAGCUGGGGACGUUUGUGGGGGAGAGGAGGGGGAGGCUGCUGAGGGGGCCGGGAGGGAGAGCCAGGUCACACAGCCACCCCAGGGCCAGCGGUCAGUCACACGCCUGCCCCUGGGGCCCGGCCACGAGACAGAAGGCUCCCCAGGCUCAGGACACGAUAUCUCCUCCCCUUCCCUGCCCCAGGAGAAAAGGCCAGCUGGCCUUGAAUACAGGAAGAUCUGAACAUUUACCAGCCGUGUGACUGUGGGCUGGUCAUUUAACUUUGGCAUUUCAGUUUCCUCACAUGCACUAAUUAUAGUGUCCCUCUUACAAAGUCGUCGUGAAGAUCGAGUGCGAAUGUACAGAAAGGGCUUUGCCAGCCUUAAAGGGUUACUGAAAUAUUAACUAUGAAAAAUAAAAAAAUAUAUGAAAUAUUACCAGAGGCCAUCCUAAUCUAAUUCCUCUAUUUUACCGACGAGGACAUGGAAGCCUUGGAAGUGACUUGCUGAAGAUCACGCAGACAAUAAACUAAACUCGAGUCUGCUGACUCAUAUUUCUACUUUUUUUUUUUUUUUUUUUUGAGGCAGUUGGGAUAAAGUGACUUAUUUGUCCAGGGUCACACAGCUAAUAAGUGUCCAAGGCCAAAUUUGAAUUCAGCUCCUUCUGACUCCAGUGCCGGUGCUCUAACUAUUGUGCAAUCUAACUACCUCCUCCUUUUUCCAUUGUAACAGACUGAAUCAGGAUGAAGAGCAGUGGGGAACAAAGGGGACAACAAAAACAACUUUUGUACCUCUCUCAUGGUGCCAUAGGCAGAGGGUCUGGAACUCCAGGGGAGACCGCUGCCCGAAAUCUCUGGAUGUAUCUCCUUGGCUUACACAGAAUAUACAAUGGACCCGAAGUAUUCUGUGGCAUUGGAAUGGGCCAGUGGCAAAUACAGUUUGAAAAGUUGAGCUGGAAAGUCUCUAGUUGUAUGUUGGGGGCAAUAGUUGUGUGGUAAAGAACAGCUAAAAAGGACUUUGUAUGGUUACUCUAAGCAGGUUGGAGAUAAUUGAGUCAGGUUUUAUUGUUCAGUCUAAAGCAGAAUGGGGGAUAAUUCAAUCAUAGUGCAUAUCCUGAUAACAGAGUUGUUUUCCCUCUCUCAUAUCUUAUUAUCCAAUGGCAGAAUAUAACAUGUACAUCAAUAAUUAUGAUAAGGAUGGAAAGUAAUAAAAGCAAAGGAAUGAUCCAGACAAAGGAUUCUAGUAUAAUCUCAGGAGGGAGAGAAUAUUUUUACUUAGGGGAUGGGAGGGAGGGAGAGGUCGAGUACCUGGGCUGGGCCCAGUUCGAGAAAUAGCAAGCCGAUCCUCUUCUUACUUAAAAAAGAGAACCAGACAUUCUGUUUUUAAUUCUGUGACACUAAUUUAGAGAAACUAGGUUAUGGAAAGGUUAUGUAAGAGAUGAUGUGAUAGGUUACAUGGCAUGGGAGAAAUUAUGCAGCACACGCUCAGUUUUUCUGUGAAUGGCUCUCCACUGUGGGAGUUAUCUAUGACCAAUUUUUCCUCCCUGGCCAUCCAACACCUACCCCCACAUGGCUCCCCUCAUUGGUAGGAAACCCCAACUCAUUUAUUUUUUUAGCUACUUUUUAAUGUAAACUACUUGGAGCAAGGACUGUUUUUUUCUUUUAAUUUUUAAUUUUUGUAUUCUCCGGGUCUUGCAUAAUGCCAGGUAUAUAACAGGAGCUUAAUAAAUGUUUGUGGAAUUGAACCAGAGCCAACCAUUAGGAAGGAAUAUGUAUUUUGUUUUUUGUUGUUUUUUUUUAAAGAUAACUCUAGGAGAGAGUGACUUUAAAGAUUAUUUAUUCCAGAUCUUUCAUUUUAUAAAAGAGGAACCAGAGAGAAAAUAUUGACAUCAAAGUCACACAGUAAAUUAAUGAUAGAUAGAACUGCAGGUAGAGCUGCAGAUCAGACCCCUAGGUAUUUGCUGAUAUUCAUUCUACUGCAUCAUAUCACUUUUCCUCCAUAAAAUGCAGUGAUUCUAAGACAAAAAAAGCAAAGAUUAUUGAGUUGUCUUCAAUAUUUCAUUAUCUUUUAAAAUAAAUUAAUACUUUUAAUGUAAGCAGUCAUUAAUAAAUAUGAGCAUUUCCAUACACACACAGUACAGAAAAAGAAACUUAUAAAACUUGCAUGUAAAAUAUUGAAUUUGUACAUAGCUGGUGAUUUUGUUAUUGUGUGUGGUUUUUUUUUUUUUUAAGAAAUAUACAUCAAAUUUAACAUGCUAAGACCAACAUAGUCCUUAUUGUCUGUAUUCCUUUCUGAACUUCAUUCUGUUCUCUUCUGUGUUUUUUGAAAAUAUUCUAUUGAUUUUUAAAUUUUUUUCUUCUUUCUCUCAGUAUCACUAUUAUUACUUCUUUAAUCCCCUUCCUAACCCAAAAGCCCUCCUGUUAUAAGAAGUCAAAAGAAAUACCAUUGGGUUUUAUUGAUCUUGUCUAAAAAUGUUUGUCUCGGGCAGCACAGGAGAUAGAGCACUUGAAUUGGAGUCAAGAGAAUCCUUCAAGGUCCAAUGUGACCUUGGACACAGGCUGUCUGACCUUGGUCAAGGCACUUAACCCUGAUUGCCUCCAAUAAAAAAAGAAAAGCGAAAAUAAAUGUCUCAUUCUGUACUUCUAAUCCAUCACCGCUCUUCCAAGACAUAAAGAACUUCAUUAUCAGUCUUUGGGAGUCAUGACUAGUUAUUGAAUUCAAUCAGAAUAUUCAAGUUUUCAAAAUUAUUGCCCUUCACAAUGUUGUAAUCAGUGUAAUAAGUUGUUCUCCUGGUUCUACCCACUUCUUAACUCUGCAUUUGUUUGCAUAAGAGUCCCCGGGUUUCUCUGAAUCUGUCACUUUUGACAUCUCUUAUGAUACAAUAACAUCUCUUUACAUUAGUGUGCCAUCGUUUGUUUAACUAUUCCCCAAUUGAUAGUUAUCCUGUUUUUUAUUUGCUAUAAUAAAGUGCUGUUAUAAGUGUUUUUACA